rnacentral:rRNA from 1 species
UGCAGUCGAGCGGUAGCACAGAGAGCUUGCUCUCGGGUGACGAGCGGCGGACGGGUGAGUAAUGUCUGGGAAACUGCCUGAUGGAGGGGGAUAACUACUGGAAACGGUAGCUAAUACCGCAUAACGUCGCAAGACCAAAGUGGGGGACCUUCGGGCCUCAUGCCAUCAGAUGUGCCCAGAUGGGAUUAGCUGGUAGGUGGGGUAACGGCUCACCUAGGCGACGAUCCCUAGCUGGUCUGAGAGGAUGACCAGCCACACUGGAACUGAGACACGGUCCAGACUCCUACGGGAGGCAGCAGUGGGGAAUAUUGCACAAUGGGCGCAAGCCUGAUGCAGCCAUGCCGCGUGUGUGAAGAAGGCCUUCGGGUUGUAAAGCACUUUCAGCGGGGAGGAAGGCGGUGAGGUUAAUAACCUCAUCGAUUGACGUUACCCGCAGAAGAAGCACCGGCUAACUCCGUGCCAGCAGCCGCGGUAAUACGGAGGGUGCAAGCGUUAAUCGGAAUUACUGGGCGUAAAGCGCACGCAGGCGGUCUGUCAAGUCGGAUGUGAAAUCCCCGGGCUCAACCUGGGAACUGCAUUCGAAACUGGCAGGCUAGAGUCUUGUAGAGGGGGGUAGAAUUCCAGGUGUAGCGGUGAAAUGCGUAGAGAUCUGGAGGAAUACCGGUGGCGAAGG